rnacentral:misc_RNA from 1 species
UCGGUGUUUACAUGUUCGAGCCGAGUCCCUUCUAAGAAAGCUCUCCGGAUCAGAAAGUGUCGUAGAACGGUGUGUUGCCUUCUCUCCACAGUCUGUGGUAGGAUACGCAACACGCUGGACCGAUGCUAGAUGGGGAAGGAGAGCGUGGCACCGAGUCCCUUCAGAGAAAGCUCUCCGGAUCAGAAAGUGUCGUAGAACGGUGUGUUGCCUUCUCCCCACAGUCUGUGGUAGGAUACGCAACACGCUGGACCGAUGCUAGUAGGGGAAGGAGAGCGUGGCACCGAGUCCCUUCAGAGAAAGCUCUCCGGAUCAGAAAGUGUCGUACAACGGUGUGUUGCCUUCUCCCCACAGUCUGUGGUACGAUACGCAACACGCUGGAGCGAUGCUAGAUGGGGAAGGAGAGCGUAGCCCCUGUGACGGUAAUUGUUGCCGAUGUAACACCCGCGCGCUGUGGACACUCAGGACGCCUUCAUGCAAGCGAUUCUCCCAUGCUAUGCGUGGGAGGAGGCUUGGUAGGUUAGACUGCUGUGGCUACGCGAGCGCAUGAGUAGCUUUGGACCCGUGUCUGUUGGUAGAUCCCCCGUCCUCGUGCGGCCGACUACCGACGCCGUGUCCCAUCAUUCGUGUGGCUUAUGUUACAGUUGCCUUUCAAGUGCUUGCGUGCAUGUACCCGACCUACGGGAAGUGGUGCUUCGUACAUGUUUGCCUCGCGGCGGACACCUUCGGGUGUACCGUUGUGGCCUAAUGGCGCUUGCGGCGUUUCCUGGUGGUGCUGGCAUGUUUUUUGCUCGGUGCUAUCAAGGAAGCCUCGUUAUCGCUGUUGGUUUCGGAUGCUGCUCAUGAUAAAGGCUCAUGGCCCUUUUGGUGCCUAGAACCGACACAGAAGCUAUCUGGAUCAGAACGUGUCGUAGAACGGGAUGUUGCCUCUACCUCUCCACAGUUAGUGGUAGGAUAGGCAGCAGGCUGGACCGAUGCUAGUAGGAGAAGGAAAGCUUAGCCCGCUCAAUUGCGACAACCGGCUCGGCCGUUGUCUGCCUGCAAGGGCGGAUUGCUACCGAUGCUGGACGUCAAAGAGGACGUGCU